UACGGGGGGGGCAAGCGUUGUUCGGAAUUACUGGGCGUAAAGGGCUUGUAGGUGGCCAACUAAGUCAGACGUGAAAUCCCUCGGCUUAACCGGGGAACUGCGUCUGAUACUGGAUGGCUUGAGUUUGGGAGAGGGAUGCGGAAUUCCAGGUGUAGCGGUGAAAUGCGUAGAUAUCAGGAGGAACACCGGUGGCGAAGGCGGUUCUCUGGGCAUUACCUGACGCUGAGGAGCGAAAGUGUGGGGAGCGAACAGG
rnacentral:rRNA from 1 species